UAGGGAAUUUUCGUCAAUGGGCGCAAGCCUGAACGAGCAAUGCCGCGUGAACGAGGAAGGUCUUCGGAUCGUAAAGUUCUGUUGAAGGGGAAAAAGAGCGGAGAGAGGAAAUGGUCUCCGAUUGAUAUUACCCUUCGAGGAAGUCACGGCUAACUACGUGC
rnacentral:rRNA from 1 species